rnacentral:rRNA from 1 species
CUUUGGGUGUGACUGCGUACCUUUUGUAUAAUGGGUCAGCGACUUAUAUUCUGUAGCAAGGUUAACCGAAUAGGGGAGCCGGAGGGAAACCGAGUCUUAACCGGGCGUUAAGUUGCAGGGUAUAGACCCGAAACCCGGUGAUCUAGCCAUGGGCAGGUUGAAGGUUGGGUAACACUAACUGGAGGACCGAACCGACUAAUGUUGAAAAAUUAGCGGAUGACCUGUGGCUGGGGGUGAAAGGCCAAUCAAACCGGGAGAUAGCUGGUUCUCCCCGAAAGCUAUUUAGGUAGCGCCUCGUGAAUUCAUCUCCGGGGGUAGAGCACUGUUUCGGCUAGGGGGCCAUCCCGGCUUACCAACCCGAUGCAAACUGCGAAUACCGGAGAAUGUUAUCACGGGAGACACACGGCGGGUGCUAACGUCCGUCGUGAAGAGGGAAACAACCCAGACCGCCAGCUAAGGUCCCAAAGUCAUGGUUAAGUGGGAAACGAUGUGGGAAGGCCCAGACAGCCAGGAUGUUGGCUUAGAAGCAGCCAUCAUUUAAAGAAAGCGUAAUAGCUCACUGGUCGAGUCGGCCUGCGCGGAAGAUGUAACGGGGCUAAACCAUGCACCGAAGCUGCGGCAGCGACACUGUGUGUUGUUGGGUAGGGGAGCGUUCUGUAAGCCUGUGAAGGUGUGUCGUGAGGCAUGCUGGAGGUAUCAGAAGUGCGAAUGCUGACAUAAGUAACGAUAAAGCGGGUGAAAAGCCCGCUCGCCGGAAGACCAAGGGUUCCUGUCCAACGUUAAUCGGGGCAGGGUGAGUCGACCCCUAAGGCGAGGCCGAAAGGCGUAGUCGAUGGGAAACGGGUUAAUAUUCCCGUACUUGGUGUUACUGCGAAGGGGGGACGGAGAAGGCUAUGUUGGCCGGGCGACGGUUGUCCCGGUUUAAGCGUGUAGGUGUGUGUUCCAGGUAAAUCCGGUUCACUUUAACACUGAGGCGUGACGACGAGGCACUACGGUGCUGAAGCAACAAAUGCCCUGCUUCCAGGAAAAGCCUCUAAGCAUCAGGUAACAUCAAAUCGUACCCCAAACCGACACAGGUGGUCAGGUAGAGAAUACCAAGGCGCUUGAGAGAACUCGGGUGAAGGAACUAGGCAAAAUGGUGCCGUAACUUCGGGAGAAGGCACGCUGACACGUAGGUGAAGUGAUUUACUCAUGGAGCUGAAGUCAGUCGAAGAUACCAGCUGGCUGCAACUGUUUAUUAAAAACACAGCACUGUGCAAACACGAAAGUGGACGUAUACGGUGUGACGCCUGCCCGGUGCCGGAAGGUUAAUUGAUGGGGUCAGCGCAAGCGAAGCUCCUGAUCGAAGCCCCGGUAAACGGCGGCCGUAACUAUAACGGUCCUAAGGUAGCGAAAUUCCUUGUCGGGUAAGUUCCGACCUGCACGAAUGGCGUAAUGAUGGCCAGGCUGUCUCCACCCGAGACUCAGUGAAAUUGAACUCGCUGUGAAGAUGCAGUGUACCCGCGGCAAGACGGAAAGACCCCGUGAACCUUUACUAUAGCUUGACACUGAACAUUGAGCCUUGAUGUGUAGGAUAGGUGGGAGGCUUUGAAGUGUGGACGCCAGUCUGCAUGGAGCCGACCUUGAAAUACCACCCUUUAAUGUUUGAUGUUCUAACGUGGACCCGUUACCCGGGUUGCGGACAGUGUCUGGUGGGUAGUUUGACUGGGGCGGUCUCCUCCUAAAGAGUAACGGAGGAGCACGAAGGUUGGCUAAUCCUGGUCGGACAUCAGGAGGUUAGUGCAAUGGCAUAAGCCAGCUUGACUGCGAGCGUGACGGCGCGAGCAGGUGCGAAAGCAGGUCAUAGUGAUCCGGUGGUUCUGAAUGGAAGGGCCAUCGCUCAACGGAUAAAAGGUACUCCGGGGAUAACAGGCUGAUACCGCCCAAGAGUUCAUAUCGACGGCGGUGUUUGGCACCUCGAUGUCGGCUCAUCACAUCCUGGGGCUGAAGUAGGUCCCAAGGGUAUGGCUGUUCGCCAUUUAAAGUGGUACGCGAGCUGGGUUUAGAACGUCGUGAGACAGUUCGGUCCCUAUCUGCCGUGGGCGCUGGAGAACUGAGGGGGGCUGCUCCUAGUACGAGAGGACCGGAGUGGACGCAUCACUGGUGUUCGGGUUGUCAUGCCAAUGGCACUGCCCGGUAGCUAAAUGCGGAAGAGAUAAGUGCUGAAAGCAUCUAAGCACGAAACUUGCCCCGAGAUGAGUUCUCCCUGAGACUUAGAGUCUCCUGAAGGAACGUUGAAGACGACGACGUUGAUAGGC